UACGUAGGGUGCAAGCGUUGUCCGGAAUUACUGGGUUUAAAGCGCGCGCAGGCGGAAUAGCAAGUCUGGUCGUGAAAUCCUCCGGCUUAACCGGAGAAUGGCGCUGGAAACUGCUGUUCUUGAGUGCGGAAGAGGAAAGUGGAAUUCACGGUGUAGCGGUGAAAUGCGUAGAUAUCGUGAGGAACACCGGUGG
rnacentral:rRNA from 1 species